rnacentral:rRNA from 1 species
GAAAAAGAGGGUGGUGCAGCUAGACCACUUGGUAUGAUGAGAGAGUUCCGUGAAUGCCUAAUGGAUUGUGGGCUGGAAGAUCUAGGCUAUAAUGGGGACAUGUUCACUGGGAGGAGAGGCGAAAUACAUGAGCGCCUUGAUCGGGCAGUCUGUAACUUAGCAUGGGUAAACAAAUUUCCACGAGCGGCAGUUAUCAAUGAAGAACAUGCUCAUUCUGACCAUCGCCCAAUCAUACUGGAUAUGGAGUAUUGGGAUGAAAAAAUCUUUAAAUGCGCAGAGGGGCGUGUUAAAACAAUUUGA